rnacentral:rRNA from 1 species
ACUCCUACGGGAGGCAGCAGUGGGGAAUAUUGCACAAUGGGCGCAAGCCUGAUGCAGCCAUGCCGCGUGUAUGAAGAAGGCCUUCGGGUUGUAAAGUACUUUCAGCAGUGAGGAAGGCGGGUACGUUAAUAGCGUGCUCGUUUGACGUUAGCUGCAGAAGAAGCACCGGCUAACUCCGUGCCAGCAGCCGCGGUAAUACGGAGGGUGCGAGCGUUAAUCGGAAUUACUGGGCGUAAAGCGCAUGCAGGUGGUUUGUUAAGUCAGAUGUGAAAGCCCGGGGCUCAACCUCGGAAUUGCAUUUGAAACUGGCAGACUAGAGUACUGUAGAGGGGGGUAGAAUUUCAGGUGUAGCGGUGAAAUGCGUAGAGAUCUGAAGGAAUACCGGUAGGCGAAGGCGGCCCCCUGGACAGAUACUGACACUCAGAUGCGAAAGCGU